rnacentral:lncRNA from 1 species
AAAAUUUUGAAAAAGAAAAUAAAUAACAACUACUGUAAAUAAAAGAUUUAAUAUUACCUGUGGAUCGAGGCGUGCGGAACACUGUUCUAAAAGAGAAAUAGAUUAAUGGCGAGAAAGUAGGGAAAGACGAAGUAGGAUUUAGGUAUGCUCGGAUUCUUCCUGAACUCAUACAAUCCCGCCCAAUAUUUAUAACCAAGUCCAAUAUUUAUAACCAAGUCGGAAAUCUUGCUUCCACGUAUCAAAUUUGUAUUUGUAUAAAAUUUAAAACAAGAUAAGCCUAAGAUUAUACGAAUAAGGCUUAGAAUAAAGAUAAAACCUACAAUCUUGCCCAAUAUUUAUAACCAAAUUGAGAAUCUUGCUUCAACGUAUCAAAUCUGUAUAAAAUAAGAUAAGCCUAAGAUUAUACGGAUAAGGAUGAGGAUAAAGAUAAAACCAAAAAAAUAUAAAUAUAAAUAAAAUAAAUCGGGUGUAUGGAUUGCGCGCGCCACCGGGGGAUUGAAUUUAUAGAUGAAUAGGAAUGCUAUUUUUAAAUAAAUUGAUCAUAGCUAUUCUUUUUUGAUAUUUUUUUUAACAAAUUAAUCAUAACCAUUUAUAGAGAAUAGAUUUCAAUAUUUGGUAGAGAUUUAAUAGAUUAAUCAUAACCGUUCGUUCUUAUUUGAGAUAUUUUUAAAAAAAAAAUCAUAAUCAUUCAUUCGUAGGGAAUAUUUUUUUAUUCACUUUUGGAUUCCGUCUGUCAUUGUCGGAAUUCCUAUACGCUUUUAUAUAUAGUAUAGAUAUAGAUAUAGAUUACACAAAAAACAACCAAUUCAGUAUAUUAACAAUUAUCCUCCUACAAUCUUGAAAUAAUACUAAUAAUAAUUCAUAACAACUUAUAUUUGAAUUUGAUUUAUUUUGAAUGACUAUAACACAAGUUAUAUUUAGUCUUUACUCUAGUUCUCAAUUUAAUACUAUAUGGAUAGAUUUCAAUAUUUAGUAGAGAUUUACUAGAUUGAUCAUAUCCAUUCGUUUAACAAAAAAAAAUCAUAAUCAUUCGUAGGGAAUAUUUUUUUUUUCCUUUUUGGAUUCCGUCUGUCAUUGUCGGAAUUCCUAUAUGCUUUUAUAUAUAAUAUAGACAUAGAUUACACAAAAAACAACCAAUUCAGUAUAUUAACAAUUAUCCUCCUACAAUCUUGAAAUAAUACUAAUAAUAAUUCAUAACAACUUAUAU